UACGAAGGGAGCUAGCGUUGUUCGGAAUCACUGGGCGUAAAGCGCACGUAGGCGGAUGUGUCAGUCAGGGGUGAAAUCCCGGAGCUCAACUUCGGAACUGCCCUUGAUACAGCACGUCUUGAGUCCGGAAGGGGUGGGUGGAAUUCCUAGUGUAGAGGUGAAAUUCGUAGAUAUUCGGAGGAACACCAGUGGCGAAGGCGGCUCACUGGCUCGGUACUGACGCUGAGGUGCGAAAGCGUGGGGAGCAAACAGG
rnacentral:rRNA from 1 species